UACGAAGGGGGCUAGCGUUGUUCGGAAUCACUGGGCGUAAAGGGCGCGUAGGCGGUGCGUUAAGUCGGCGGUGAAAUACUUCGGCUCAACCGGAGAAUUGCCGCUGAAACUGGCGUGCUCGAGGGAGGUAGAGGUGCGUGGAACUUCCGGUGGAGCGGUGAAAUGCGUUGAUAUCGGAAGGAACACCUGUGGCGAAGGCGGAUCUCUGGGCCUUACCUGACGCUCAGGCGCGAAAGCUAGGGGAGCGAACAGG
rnacentral:rRNA from 1 species